ACACCUUUAAAAACUAUACAAAAUAUGAGUUGGAGUGGUUUAUGUGUAACUGUGUGUGUGUGUGUGUGUGUGUGUGUGUGUGUGUGUGUGUUGAGUGGUAAAAUGGGGGUUGGCAACCAAAUAAAGUGCUUUAAGUCAUUCAUGUUGAGUAGUUGGGUCCGUGCAGCAAUAUCCUCAGUCUGCUGCUAAAUUAAUACAUGUUGGAGAGACUUGUCCCGAAUCAGACUCAAAUGUUCCGUCUCCAUCAUCUUUAGCACUAUGAUGUUAGUCCCCAUUCUGCAUCCCUCUCUGUUCCUACCGACAUCAUCAAAUCCCUGUCUCCUUCUUGACCCAGUCUACUAGCUUGGUGACGCGCGAGUAGACACCAGGCUUGUUCCGACGAGCG